UACGGAGGGUGCAAGCGUUAUCCGGAUUCACUGGGUUUAAAGGGUGCGUAGGCGGGCAGGUAAGUCAGUGGUGAAAUCCCCGAGCUUAACUUGGGAACUGCCGUUGAUACUAUCUGUCUUGAAUCUAUGGAGGUAGGCGGAAUAUGUCAUGUAGCGGUGAAAUGCUUAGAUAUGACAUAGAACACCAAUGCGAAGGCAGCUUGCUACACAGUUAUUGACGCUGAGGCACGAAGCGUGGGGAUCAAACAGG
rnacentral:rRNA from 1 species